rnacentral:rRNA from 1 species
CCAUGCCGCGUGCAGGAAGACGGCCUUAUGGGUUGUAAACUGCUUUUAUUUGGGAAUAAACCCGACUACGUGUAGUCGGCUGAAGGUACCAAACGAAUAAGCACCGGCUAACUCCGUGCCAGCAGCCGCGGUAAUACGGAGGGUGCAAGCGUUAUCCGGAUUCAUUGGGUUUAAAGGGUGCGUAGGCGGUUUAAUAAGUCAGUGGUGAAAGCCUCCCGCUCAACGGGAGAAUUGCCAUUGAUACUGUUAGACUUGAAUCUAGUUGAAGUGGGCGGAAUACGUCAUGUAGCGGUGAAAUGCAUAGAUAUGACGUAGAACGCCGAUUGCGAAGGCAGCUCACUAAGUUAGUAUUGACGCUGAGGCACGAAAGCGUGGGUAGCGAACAGGAUUAGAUACCCUGGUAGUCCACGCCGUAAACGAUGGUCACUCGCUGUUGGCGAUAUAAUGUCAGUGGCUGAGCGAAAGCAUUAAGUGACCCACCUGGGGAGUACGUUCGCAAGAAUGAAACUCAAAGGAAUUGACGGGGGCCCGCACAAGCGGUGGAGCAUGUGGAUUAAUUCGAUGAUACGCGAGGAACCUUACCAGGGCUUAAAUGCAAAACGACGGAAGUGGAAACACUUCUUUCUUCGGACGGAUUGCAAGGUGCUGCAUGGUUGUCGUCAGCUCGUGCUGUGAAGUGUCGGGUUAAGUCCCAUAACGAGCGCAACCCCUAUUUUCAGUUGCCAGCGAGUAAUGUCGGGGACUCUGGAAAAAACUGCCACCGUAAGGUGAGAGGAAGGUGGGGAUGACGUCAAAUCAUCACGGCCCUUACGUCCUGGGCUACACACGUGCUACAAUGGCCGGUACAGAGGGCAG